CUGGUUUUCCACCCCCCCUUAGGCCCCCCCUCCGCCCAAUAAGGACAUAAACUUCAACCCCUUAGUCCAGCCUGUCCCUUUAGGACGCUGCACUGUCCGUCCUUCUCUACUAUUUCCCCUUCCAGGCUCUCCUUCCUUCCUCUUUUGCCUUCCUCUGCCCUUCUCUCCUCUUUUCUCUGCUUUGCUUCUCUCCUUCUUUUUCCCUUCACCUGCCGCGAGUACCUCUUCCCCUCUCCCUCCUCCAGCAGCUAUCUCGCCCAGUCCACCUUAACCCAAACCCCACCCUCUACCCCCAUCCAACCCGAGGGGGAUGCCCCGCCCCCGCCCCUUAGCUCCACCGCCCAGCUCGUCUAUUCGUUAGGAUGUCCGUCAAUCGAAAUCUCAGUCCCGCCCCACACUUGGCCCUUGGGGAGAGGGGCGGGGCUUCUGGACUGGAAUGGUACAGGGAGAAGGGGGGUUGGGGACCUUGUGUCUGCCGCGGCCUGGGCACCAGCCCCUCCCCCAUCCCCCCAGUGUUCCCAUCCCGUCCCAAAGGGCUCCCCAAAGAGUGGGACAGCAAGAGAGGGAGUGGCUUGUGAAGGAAUUAAUGGAAGAGGGGGAAUUGAUUGGGUGCAGAAUCAGGGACCUAGUGUAGGGCGAGAGAAGGGUGGUAAACCAGAGCAGGGGAAAUAAUCAGGUCACAGCAGAAGCCCAGCAGAAGGAGGGAGGGGGGAGAGGGUGGAGUCACCCAAGGCCUGAGAUCCUUGUCCUUUAUCCUUCCCCCCCCCCCCCCAUCCCUCCUGGACUGGAGGAAAGGGGUCUGGACUUGGAGACUUUGUUAUAUGUCCCUCCCACACGCGGGACGGUGCCCCACGGGGUGGGGACCUACGCCUAGGUUAAGCCUGAAGGCAGAAUUCGGCCUCUGAGCUUCAGCCCUGUGCCCGGCUGCGGCCUUGGCACAGCCACUGGGGAGGGGCUGGGUUCAUGAAAAGGGGCGGAGGAAUGGGGAUGGCACGUUGCUUCUUCUCCCCGCCCCUCCUCUUCAAGCUAGGGCGCCUUGAAUUCCUUUCACCUUUCGAUUAUUGGGGAAACUGAGGCCACUAAGAAGGGAUACCCUGGCCUGAACGCGACCCGGAGGUUACAGCUCUGAGGGAGGAAUCUAGACUCGGGGGUUCCCCCCCCCCAAGCAGGUGGCUUCGCGGGACACUAGCUGAACCUGUUGGACCACAAUGGGCGGCGACGCGGGGGCCCAGUCCCUCACCCGGGCUGACCUGGGAUCCCCUGGCUGGGGGAGGGGCGGAGCUCGGGUCCGGGCCCCUCCCUCAUCUACACUCCCUCCCCAGCCGGCCGUGACUCAGCCUCGGGGCCGCUGCCCUGCGCCCCAGCCAGGGGCGGAAAGUGUGAGGCGCCCCAGAGGGCCCAGGCCAAGGCAAACAGCCCCCCACCCCCAGACAUUAUCUCACUGGAGAAUUAGGGGGGUGAGGUUCUGGGGCAUUUAAGGGGUGUGUGUGUGUGUGUGUGUGUGUGUGUGUGUAUGUGUAUGUGUAUGUGUGUGAAGGGGUGGGAAGACUUAUUCGGGAGAUCCGCUCCGGGUUUUCAAUCUGUUCCCAUUCGUUCUCCGCACCCCCCACCCCCCUUCCAGUCCCCCGGCCUCAGUCCCUCGGUCGAUGGUCAGAGACUUUCUCCGGGUUUUCUUCCUGGCCUCGGCGGACAGAGUCCGGUUUGUAAGAGUUUGGAAGGAAUUGGAUCCAGGCCGGGGUUUCUUCCUUUCUUCCCUACCUCCUGGGACAGACUGGCCUGGGGAAGGGCCGGUGCCAGGCGAGAGGGGGCAGUGCCAGGGGCACAUUCGAAAUCAAGAAGAGGCUAUGCCAGGGGUAGAGUUGAAAGGAAUCAGUAGAGAGAGGGCACCCAUUAGGCGGGAGGGAAUUGGUAGGGAGAGCCAAAGACAAAUUGGCAUAAGAAAUAACGAUAAUGUUAGGAAUAAUAACUAUUAUUUAGAUAGCACUGAAAUCUACAAAGCGCCUUACAAACAUUUCAUUUGAGCCUCACAACAACCCUGUGAGGUAGGCAUUACGUGUAUUAGUAUUCCCAUUUUACAGAUGAAACAAUUUCACUUUAUUUGACUUGCCAAGGUCACACUACUAAGGGGCAGGAAAGGUUGCCACGACCUCCUAGGUUGUGAAGGAGGUCAGGUGCCAAACUGAAAGAGUCCGGCCUCUGCUAAUAGUUCCCCCACAAAGCUGGGGUAUGGGCUGGGGUGGCAUCUUGGUACCUUAAGCAAAUGCAAGGAAUUUGGAUUCUUUGUUUCCCUAAGAAUCGAAUUAUUCCUGUUCUUUUACUUAGCCUAGGUGGAUGGCGGAGGGAAGGCAGCCUAAAGCAUCCUUUUCUGGCUAUCUUAAACAAAACCGUUUCAUUGGAAGUAAAGAAAUGCAGACUUCUUGGCCCUGCUGUUCCCCUGACCCCACUCUGGAACACUGGCCCUCUUAGGCUACCUCCUGCCACCUUGGCCUGUCUGCCUGGCUUGGUCUGGGCUUGGGUGAUGGGUGUGAUGAGAGAGGCCUGCAGGUGCCUCCCGAGGGAAGUGGCAGAGAAACUCCCGACUCCCCAGGCUUGAGCUCAAUCCUCCCCUCUCCCAUUCCCCUUUCUACACCAAGACGGUAAACUACCCACUUGGCUAGGCGAACCACCUAGGGAGGGAGGAGAAGGUUGGGUGGGGCAUUCGAGUAAGUAAACCGAAAAUAAGGAUAUUUACCCAGAGAAUGGAGUUGGCAGUGGGAGUUGGCACCUCAUCUUCUGGUAUGGAAGUAAAGAUAGGAGAAGGGGUAGCCAGGAAGGCACAUGGUUGGAGAGUAAACGCUCUGAUAAUUAGGGUGGGCAAAGGAGGAAUUCUGUAGUCCUGAAGGUCUGGAGGAACUGCCUUUUGGGAUAAGGGAGCCAACCACAACUCUAGCAGGGAAGCUGAGACCCCAAGUGAGUAUACCUGCUGUGCCCACCUUCUAACUUCUGGCCCCCCACCGCUUCCACCGCUUCCCUCGAAGUUUCAGCCGCCCAGGAAACCACUGGGGGCGCCCAGACCGCAGCCCCCUCAGCCGCCGCCGCCCCUCCCCCUCCCCCCAGCGCUCCCACCGCGACCGCCCAACCCACCAACCCACCUGAAGAGGCCGCGGCUGCCUGGGGGGGCACCCUCCCCUUCCCUCAGUCUCUCCCCACUAGCAUCUGCGGGCGGCUCUAUUUAUAACUCCGGUGCCUAUUCCGGGCUUCGGGUGCAAAGCCGUCUACUCCAACGUUCUAAUCUCCGCUGGGAUCUUUGCGCCCCCCAGGGCCCAGGCAGAAAGGAAAUGAUUCAGAUGCAACUGAGAUGCAAAUAUAGGCAGAAAAAACAAACAAACAAACAAAAAACUGGUGCUGGUGGUCCACAGCUCUUUAGUGACCCCUUCCCGACUCACAAUUAGGAAGACACUGGA